rnacentral:rRNA from 1 species
ACGGGGUGCAGCAGGCGAGAAAACUUUGCAAUGUGCGAAAGCACGACAAGGUUAAUCCGAGUGGUUUGUGCUAAACGAACCUUUUGACAGUCCUAGAAACACUGUUGAAUAAGGGGUGGGCAAGUUCUGGUGUCAGCCGCCGCGGUAAAACCAGCACCUCAAGUGGUCAGGAUGAUUAUUGGGCCUAAAGCAUCCGUAGCCGGCUCUAUAAGUUUUCGGUUAAAUCUGUACGCUCAACGUACAGGCUGCCGGGGAAUACUGCAGAGCUAGGGAGUGGGAGAGGUAGACGGUACUCGGUAGGAAGGGGUAAAAUCCUUUGAUCUAUUGAUGACCACCUGUGGCGAAGGCGGUCUACCAGAACACGUCCGACGGUGAGGGAUGAAAGCUGGGGGGAGCAAACCGGAUUAGAUACCCGGGUAGUCCCAGCUGUAAACUAUGCAAACUCAGUGAUGCAUUGGCUUGUGGCCAAUGCAGUGCUGCAGGGAAGCCGUUAAGUUUGCCGCCUGGGAAGUACGUACGCAAGUAUGAAACUUAA